AACGGUCUAUACCUGCGGUACCUGCGGAGGGAUCAUUAUCAAUUUACAGCGGACUUCGGUCCUGUCUGCACCCUUGUCUUUUGCGUACUAUAUGUUUCCUCGGUGGGCUUGCCUGCCGCUAGGACACUUAUAAACUCUUUUGUAAUUGCAAUCAGCGUCAGAAAACUAUAAUAGUUACAACUUUCAACAAUGGAUCUCU
rnacentral:misc_RNA from 1 species